rfam:Candidatus Thrbacteria bacterium RIFCSPLOWO2_02_FTLL_48_12 rifcsplowo2_02_scaffold_9089, whole genome shotgun sequence.
GGGGAUGUGGCGGAAUUGGCAGACGCGCUGGCUUCAGGAGCCAGUUCUCGCAAGAGAGUGGGAGUUCGACUCUCCCCAUCCCCA